UACGGGGGGGGCAAGCGUUGUUCGGAAUUACUGGGCGUAAAGCGUGCGCAGGCGGUUGUGCAAGACCGAUGUGAAAUCCCCGGGCUUAACCUGGGAAUGGCAUUGGUGACUGCACGGCUAGAGUGUGUCAGAGGGGGGUAGAAUUCCACGUGUGAGCAGUGAAAUGCGUAGAGAUGUGGAGGAAUACCGAUGGCGAAGGCAGCCCCCUGGGAUAACACUGACGCUCAUGCACGAAAGCGUGGGGAGCAAACAGG
rnacentral:rRNA from 1 species